rnacentral:rRNA from 1 species
GACGGAGGAUGCAAGCGUUAUCCGGAAUGAUUGGGCGUAAAGCGUCCGCAGGUGGCAGUUCAAGUCUGCUGUCAAAGACCGGGGCUCAACCUCGGAAAGGCAGUGGAAACUGAACAGCUAGAGUAUGGUAGGGGCAAAGGGAAUUCCUGGUGUAGCGGUGAAAUGCGUAGAGAUCAGGAAGAACAUCGGUGGCGAAGGCGCUUUGCUGGACCAUAACUGACACUCAGGGACGAAAGCUAGGGGAGCGAAAGGG